rnacentral:rRNA from 1 species
AAUCAACGCUGGCGGCGUGCCUAACACAUGCAAGUCGAACGCGAAAGGGGAGCAAUCCCUGAGUAGAGUGGCAAACGGGUGAGUAACACGUGGGUGACCUGCCUUCGAGUGGGGGAUAACGUCCCGAAAGGGACGCUAAUACCGCAUGACAUCCUGCCCUUGGAAGGGCGGAGAUCAAAGCCGGGAUCGCAAGACCUGGCGCUUGAAGAGGGGCCCGCGCCUGAUUAGCUUAGNGGUAGGGUAACGGCUUACCAAGGCCACGAUCAGUAUCCGGCCUGAGAGGGCGGACGGACACACUGGGACUGAGACACGGCCCAGACUCCUACGGGAGGCAGCAGUGGGAAUUGUUCGCAAUGGGCGCAAGCCUGACGACGCAACGCCGCGUGGAGGACGAAGAUCUUCGGGUCGUAAACUCCUGUCGAGUGGGAAGAAUGAUCGGGAUGAAUAAUCUCCGGUAUUGACGGUACCACUAAAGGAACGCCCGGCUAAC